UUCCCAAGUCUUAUAUAUGGCCUGUAGAUAAUCUAUAUUUACAGCCUCAUACCUCAGUUGUUUUGGAUGCUCAUAAAGAAGGUCUAGAAGUUUUUGCGUCAGAUUUUGCAAAUGACGUACCUUUUGCUUACAAUUUCAGUUAUAACCCUGUAGCUGAGUAUCUAUCUUUUAUUGACAAUGGAAACUUCUCUGUGGAUGGCGUGCUUUCUGACUUCCCAAUAACUCCAUCAGCGGCCAUAGCUUGUUUCUCUCACAGAGGCAGAAAUGUGUCAGGACAAGAAAAGCCUUUGGUUAUCUCAUCAAAAGGAUCGAGUGGGGACUACCCUGGUUGUACUGAUUUGU